AAUUUGCCGAGGCUUCGUAAACAACAAGGCGUGAGGCGGCGCGGGGUGUGUGUUAUUUUAGUGUUUUUAGCCUCCACGAUGUCCUCCCGCCACCCCUGGACCACCUAACAGGACACCGGCCACUAGUAAAGGUCCCAGAUUCAUCAAGCAAGCAUAUACAUCUUUAGUUCUGUCAAUAAGAAACAGGACAUUGCAGCCAAAAUGAUGCCAAGUGGCAACCCAGCGGGGGGCGGCUUCAACUUCAGCCAGCCCCAGGCGGCCUCGGGGCAGCCUGCCAACAAGAGUCCCUUCGGCACCACCACCACCACUGCCGCAACCGGCGGGGGGUUCAACUUUGGCAUCACGCCCUCCCAGCCAGCUGCAGUAUCCAUUGGCAUUGACUUUGGCACCGGCGGCACCUCUGGCGGCUUUCCCCUGGGUCAGCCCGCCCCCGCCACGGCCCCCGUCACUGCCCAGACCAGCGGCUUUAGCUUCAACCCCACCCAGCCAGUAGCCACCGCCGCCCCCACCACCAGCAGCGCCUUCAGCUUCGGUACCACACCAGCCACAGCACCCGGCGGCUUCAACCUCGGGGCAUCCACCCUCGGAACAUCCACCCUCGGGGCAUCCACCCUCACCCCAGCCUCCUUUGGGUCGAUACCAGCCGCCACGACCUCCGCCACUGGUCUAGUCGUGCCCACCACCGCCACUGCUCCUCAACCGGCCAUCACCAGCGGGACAUCUGGUUUCUCCUUUGGGCUCCCGGCGACGACCAGUGCGCCGCUCACGGGGUUCUCCAGCGUGGGUACUACUGCGACUUCCUUGGGGACGCAGAUGAAUAAGGGGUUGCCGUUUGGGUUCGCGGCUAGCACCCCCGCAUCCAUGGCCGCCACUAGUACAGCCGCCAUCGCCCCUGUGAGCUCCAUGGGCCUGGGGGGUAUGGGGAAGGGCCUCGGCGGUGCUCAGCCUCCCUCCGCCAACACAGAUGCCAACAGUUCUGGGUCCAAGUUGAGCGGCAAGUCGACCAAGGACCAGCAGCUCCCUCCAGACCUCUUCGCCACCAUCGCCGUCUUUGAGUCUCGGAAGAAUGCGGAAAACACGGCAUCCGAGGAGAACAUCCGUCAGACCGCGGCGCCCUUCCACAAGAUUGGCGAGAAGGCGAAGGAGAUCCAGAAGGUGUUGGCAGAGUUGGCGAGUGACCACCUCCAGCUCCAGGCCAGCACCUCCAACCUGAAGGGGGAGGUGAUGAAGGAGGCCGAGCAUGUGGAGAUGGCCAAGCGUACCAAGGAGACGCCCAUGGCCCUGCAGGGGGACAACAAGGCCCCGGAGGUGUUCUUCAUCAACCUGGUGCGUUCCUUCGAGGCGGAGAUGAUGUACUGCCGCACCAAGAUAGAGGAGGUGUCGCAGUGCAUGCAGGCCGCCAGCAACCCGUGUGAGACCCAGGAAGACAUCGCAGAGGUGCUGCAGCGGGAGCACGACACCCUGAAGAACCUGGCUGCCAAGGUGUACGCCAAGCACGGCCAGCUGGUGGAGCUCAGCCACCUGCUCAAGACCAAGACCACCCCCAACGAGCAGGAGUUCUUCAGACUCUACGCCAAGGAGGACGCCAAGACCCCCGCCUCGUCUGUUGUCAGGCCGCUGCUGGAAGGUGGAGGCAGUGGUCUGUUGGCCUUCCAGGAGCAGCAGCAGCGGGCCAAGGCAGUGACGCUGGGAGCCGCGCCGCCCACCAUGCCCCUCACACACACCACCACGCCCUCCAUGUUCAGCGGCGGCAGCACCCAGCCCGGCAUCUUCACCCUUGGCCCUUGUUUCGGCAACACCCCCGGAGGCACCAACACCUUCGUGACCAAGCCGCUCUUUGGGAACACGCCCUCGACCUUCGGCAGCACCGCAGCUCCGACGGGACUGCAGCAGACAGGCACGGCAAGCCCCUUCGCCAUCAGCUCCCCCUUCAACACCAAGCCCUUCGGUGGGUAGCGGCGCGGUCACCCUCAGGUUAUGUAUACUCAAGGGAAACACAAGGAUACAAGGGUCGUGAGUCGCGGGUCUCGGGACAUGGACAGGAGUGUGCGCUUGAGGCAUGAGCGGAAAGAUCCGAGGAGGAGGACGGGGACGGCAGGAGGAAGAGGCGGCUUUAGCGGGGGAGUCCGAGGCGCCCCGCUGUUGUUACCUGUAGCAUAGUUAACGAGCCUGCCUGCCACGUCCACCUGGAUAAUUGUUUACUUUGUCUCACCUCACCUUACCUUACCUUACUUUACCUUACCUUACCUUACCUUACCUUACCUCACCUUACCUGACCUUAGCUUACCUUACCUGACCUUAGUUUACCUUAUCUAACAAUACAAUACCUUACCUUAUGUUACCUUAUCUCACCUUACCUUACCUUACCUCACCUUACUUUACCUUACCUAACCUCACUGUACCUUACCUUACCUUACUUUACCUUAGCUUACUUUACCUUACCUAACCUUACUAUACCUUACCUCACCUUACCUUACCUUACCAUACCUUACCUCACCUUUCUAUUAUUAUUUUUUCAUUAUUAUUACUAUUAUUAUUGUUAGAAUUAUUAUGCAUUUGAUUACCUACUCAAAUUUCUCUCAUAAGAUCCAGAUGACCCCUUUUUUUUCCCUUUUUCUUUCUUACUUCUAUUAUUUUUUACAUUUUUUUUCACUUUUUUGCAGCAUUUAAUUUCGAGCUAACCAGGUGAGCAUGUGGCAGAUGUGUCUAUAUUUUUGUGAAGGCGACAUUUUGCUAAACCUUCAAUAAUUCUCUCGUGUGAUAUUUUUGUUAAACCGCCGGUGAUUCUUACAGCCUGUUUUUAUGAGCGCAUUGAGGUGAGGAGAAAGAUUGUAAGCUGAAAAGGCGUCUAAAGAUUGCAAGCUGUUACCCGUGGAAAGAUUGUAAGAUGAGGCAUAUGGAGAUUGUAAGAUGCGAUGUGUGAAGAUUGUAAACUGUAACCCAUGUCAAGAUUGUAAGAUGAGGGAAGAGAAGAUUGUAAGCUGAAAAGGCGUCUAAAGAUUGCAAGCUUAAACCGAUGGAAAGAUUGUAAGAUGAGGCAUAUGGAGAUUGUAAGAUGCGAUGUGUGAAGAUUGUAAGCUGUAACCCAUGUCAAGAUUGUAAGAUGAGGGAAGAGAAGAUUGUAAGCUGAAAAGGCGUCUAAAGAUUGUAAGCUGUUACCCAUGGAAAGAUUGUAAGAUGAGGCAUAUGGAGAUUGUAAGAUGUGAUGUGUGAAGAUUGUAAGCUGUAAGCCAUGUCAAGAUUGUAAGAUGAGGGAUGAGAAGAUUGUAAGCUGAAAAGGCGUCUAAAGAUUGUAAGCUGUAACCCGUGGAAAGAUUGUAAGAUGCGAUGUGUCAAGAUUGUCAGCUGAAUAAAAGUUAUACCCGUGUGGUUUUAUAUUAA